UACGGAGGGUGCGAGCGUUGUUCGGAAUCACUGGGCGUAAAGGGCGUGUAGGCGGUCCGCUAAGUCUGAUGUGAAAGCCCGGGGCUCACCCCCGGAAGGGCAUUGGAAACUGGCAGACUCGAGUCCCGGAGAGGAGGGUGGAAUUCCCGGUGUAGCGGUGAAAUGCGCAGAUAUCAGGAGGAACACCGAUGGCGAAGGCAGCUCGCUGGGACGGUACUGACGCUGAGGCGCGAAAGCGUGGGGAGCAAACAGG
rnacentral:rRNA from 1 species